GUGAUCCACUUUCCUCCCUCCGAGUGUGCCUGGAUGUCACCCCUCAGGGUCUCCCAGGUUGGAAAUGGCUUUCCCAACAUGAAAGGAGGAAGAGGAAGCCAUCCUGAGAAGCAGUGCUGGGAUCCAGUUUGUGGAUAUUGAGGCCUGGAGCUUGUAUGUGACUUGCCAAGUUCAUAGCCCUUCCUCCCCAGCGAGUGCCUUAAGUUGUUGGAAAAAACAAGCCUGAGCCAGAUUCAGGAAGGUAGAAGAAGAAGGAAAGGAUCCCCCAGGCAGAGACUGGCUAAUGGGUCCUCCAGGUAUGGAAUGCGCAUCCUCAUUGGUGGCCGGGGCACCUCCCCAUGAUACAAGUCACAUACAUGCUCUUUCUGGCCUGAGAACUUCCCACUUUGCCCUCCUACCCACCUCUCCUGCCAUCCUUAGUACUGAGGUCUUGUGCAGCUGCUGGGGAUGGAGGCUAGAGACAUCAAGCCAGGCAUCUUCUCUUUCCAUGUGCUCACCACCCCAAAGCACAGCAGAUGGAUCUCUGCAGAUUUUUAAACAUAUGUGUUAGGACAAGCUUGGUACCUGGAUUAAGGAAGUGGCUCAGUACCCUAGAGGCUUGGCUUCUGUCUGGCCAUUCAACAGAUGCACUGCCAAGAUGUGGACCUGCCAAGCCCCACCCCAAGAUGCUGUAGGGUGUGUGCUGUAGGGCGUGGGCUGUAUCCUGAUUCUCCCUGUGUCCUGCCUGGGGUAGGAGCAGCAGUGGUUGUGUGUGAGGGCUGGAGGAGAAGUCAGUGUAAAGAUGGAGGCAGAGGGGGCGGUAAGGGCACAAGGAAUAGAGGAGCCACUAGAAGUUGAAAGAAGCAAGGAACAAACUCUCCACUAGAGCUUCUGGUGGGAUCAUAGCCCUGCUAACAUCUUGGUUUUAGCCAAUAAAAUUGAUUUUGGAUUUCUAGCCUCCAGAACUAUGACACAAUCAAUUUCUGUUGUUUUAAGCCACCAAGUUUGUGGUAAUCUCUUAUGGCAGACUAAGAAAAUGAAUAUACAAACUACUAGAAUUAAUAAGUAUAAUCAGCAAAGUUGCUGGAUAUAAGGUCAAUAUACAAACAUCACCUUAUUUCUAUCAGCAACUAAUAAAUUAAAAAUUAGAAUAAAAUAUUCUAUUUAUAAUAGUGUCAGUAAACACCAAUUUUUAUGGUUAAAUCUAAUGAAAGUUGUACAGCCCCAAACUAUUAUUGAGAGAAAUUAAAGAAGACCUAAAUAAAUGAAGGCAUAUACCAUGGUCGUGGAUUGGAAAAAAUACUGCAAGAUGUCAGUUCUCACCCCAUUCAACUAUAGAUUGUAUAAUGCCAGUCAAAUUCUGGAAGUUAUUUUUGGUAAAAAUUGAUAAGCUGAUUCCAAAAUUCAUAGGGGAAUGCAAAAGGCAAAGAAUAGCUUAGGCAACCUCGAAGAAGAAGAAGAUCGGAACGCUUACAUUACCAGAUAAGAUCCAUUAUUAAUUUAUUAUAAUUUAGCAUGACACCAUCACAAGAAUAGAACCACUUACCAGUCAUGCAAAAUAAAGCUCAGAAACAGACUCACAUAUAUUUAUUAUUAAAGGAUUUAUUAUUAUUAUUUAUUAUUAAAGGAA